GACAGGCAUGGGGAGGAGCGUGUAAGGAAAGCAGAUGGCUCAGCGUACUGACAUUCCAGGACCAAGGCUCAUCGUAGCAAAUGGAGACCAGGGGCUGGACUGGGAGGGAGCACUUUCCGAUGCUCACGGGUGUUAGAAUAACGAGGAAACCGUGCUUGCUGCCCGAUUCCCCCUCCAGCGGCCGGGAAGGGAGGCCACAGCCUCGUGCAUGUUAGCUCCUGUCCAUGGCAUCAUCUCCCCACUGGAACGGAACCACACCCAGGGGACUAAGGACCAGACAACAAUCCCUGCGAGCACCAAACAGCAUUUGCAGUACUCAUUCAACCCAAUCAGACCUAGUCGUAACGGUGACCAUCACCUUCAAGACGACAGGCUAAGUGAGAUGAGCCGCAUGAAUCUUACCUGUCUCUCCAGAGACCUGGAGGCGCUGGCCAUUACAGAAGGCGCCCUGGCCCCUCCGACCCGUGUAGAGCCGCUCCUCCGUGCAGUGGUGAAUCACUCCGAAUUCUAGCUACAGGAGGCAGGGGCAAGAAGAAAGCAAAUGCACAUCAUGCAUUCAUCCACACAGGGAAAGACAGCAAUGCAAAGGGGUCAGAUGGAGACCAGCGUGGACCAUCUGUUCAGAACAUCACUUUCCACAACAGUCGUGAAAAGGACCAGAGCAGAAACAGGAGCCAGCUAGCCCUCAGGAGUGAGCCCCAAACCCAUCCCACCUCACCCGCCCCCCCCCCAAAAUGGGUCUGUGGUUGUUUACUUUCUCAGAUUUAAAAAAAAAAAAUACAUACUUGGACACAGUCGUCACGAUUAAGACACACAGCAAAGAACAAACAGGAGCGCAGAGGUUGAAACCAAACAAACAGGGCUGUGUUACCUCUUGGUGAACAGCAAACCCGAUGCUCACUGCCACCGUGGGGAAUCUGCGGGGGGGAAAACAGAAUGGGUCACACGUGACAGCGGAACACAAGCUCUCCAAGGCCUCUGUGGCUGCACGGUGCCCCCCACCCCAACCUGCAGCACACAAGGACCCUUUUGCACUCUGGGUGGGUUUGGUUCUGAAAAAUGACUUCUCCUUCACCACGUCCCAGGUAAACAGACUUAGCUGGCCAUGCUGUAAGAUGGCUAACCCUAAAGAAAACACGCUCUGUUCUCACGUAAGACUGGUGUGACGCAACAAUGGCCGUUUAAUGGCCAACUUAGCGGGCAGGCAGAGACUUACCCAAAAGCCAAGGCCUCAUUUUGGGGUCUGUGUAUGGGGAGG